UCUUAGACUGCUUCAGGUGGCAGGUAUACAGUCGUCAUUAACCCAGUGGCCAUGGCCUGAGAGUUGCUGAUCCAAAGGGAAAGAAAUAGUUUCUCUUGCCUAGUUUCAGUCGUAAAAUCCCAAGGAAAACUUCUGAUUGGCUCAGCUUCGGUCAUGUGUUCAUUACUGGGCCAACCACAAUGGCCAGAGGGAGUGGCAGGAAGUGGCAGUUCCUUGGAGAAACUAGGGGUGAUUCUAUCAUAAAAAGGGGUGGGGGAGAGUAGAUCAGGCAGACACAAUCACUGAAGGAGGAGAGUACAGGAGAUUUAGAGGAAGAAGAUCUGUGAAGAGGUUUGGGAGGAGUUAAGAAGGGAAAGCAAUCAGUCAUUCUUCCAAAGGCCAGUCUGCAGGGCUGGGACUGAGCACAGGCUGAAAUCAAGGUUGGACCACCUCUCAGCCCUUCUCAAGCCCUCCAGGCCUAGCAGUCUCCAUCUGAUCCUGUAUUGGAAAUGGGCAUGGAAGAUGCCACAACUUCUCAAGCUUUCCCUAGGAAAAGGGGUGGGUGAACUUCUGGCCUGAAGAAUCUGAGGAUGGAAGGUCAACUUUGCUCUUCUCCGGGGUUCUGGAACCAGACCUUCCUAACCUGCUCUGCUCACCUGGAGCCCCAGCCCACUGUCACCCAUGCCCUCAUCUCCAGACUGUUCUUCCAGCAACUAGGCUUGCAAAGCAGAGAUGGUGGGUUGGAGCACCAGCUUCCGUGUCAAGCAGGGCGGGCUGCACUCCCAGCGCCCUGGUGCCUCUGGCUCUCGAGGCUUGUUCCUCAUCUCUAGCUCCCUCACAGAGUUGUCCUGAGGCUCACAAUGGGAACACGUCAAUAAAUUACCUAUUGCAUUAAAAUGAGUUGUUAUUAUUGGCACAAUUGUUAUUGACGCUUAAGCCUGAAGGCAAAUAAAUGAUUUUUAGCUGCAAAA